rnacentral:rRNA from 1 species
UACGGGGGGGGCAAGCGUUGUUCGGAAUUACUGGGCGUAAAGGGCUCGUAGGCGGCCAACUAAGUCAGACGUGAAAUCCCCAGGCUCAACCGAGGAACGUCGAUCGAUACUGCUGUUCUUGAGGAUUGCAGAGGAGACUGGAAUUCCCGGUGUAGCGGUGAAAUGUGUAGAGAUCGGGAGGAACACCGGUGGCGAAGGCGGGUCUCUGGGCAAUUCCUGACGCUGAGGCGCGAAAGCGUGGGGAGCAAACGGG